rnacentral:rRNA from 1 species
UACGUAGGUGGCAAGCGUUGUCCGGAAUUACUGGGCGUAAAGCGUGCGCAGGCGGUGAUGUAAGACAGUUGUGAAAUCCCCGGGCUCAACCUGGGAACUGCAUCUGUGACUGCAUCGCUGGAGUGCGGCAGAGGGGGGAUGGAAUUCCGCGUGUAGCAGUGAAAUGCGUAGAUAUGCGGAGGAACACCGAUGGCGAAGGCAGCCCCCCUGGGCUAACACUGACGCUCAGGCACGAAAGCCGUGGGGAGCAAACAGG